AUUUCUACUGCUUCCUUCCAGUCCUUGAACCAAAGUCUGAGACCACCAGCAAAACUGUGAAGCUAACAAUGUCAUUCAGAACAGUAACUGGACAAAACCACGGUUUUCUCUACCAGGUAAAAUCUCUACCCAAAAUGGAGUUCCAGCUUUUUCUUCCAAACCCAACUUAUAUCUUCAAGAUUCAAAUUCAAGUGAACAUUUUUCAAAACUUGCUAAUUUUAUCCUAAAUAUAAUAAAGAAUACUGCUUCAAGCCAGUGUGCUAGAGUUACUUGCUCUGCCAAAAGAGUCCACUUUAUUAGCACCCCAUGGGCUAUAUGUUAAAAGCAUUUACCUUCCUCAAUCUUAUUACCAGUGCCCUCUGGAUCAUAAAGAGAAACUAGGAAAAACAAAACAGUGACCCAAAUGUAACCAACCAAGGCUUAUUUAGAGAAUUUGAACUCAGUAAAUUCCAAAACACAAAGUAAGAAUGUUUAAUCAAUUCAAAUAA